rnacentral:rRNA from 1 species
UACGGAGGAUCCAAGCGUUGUCCGGAUUUAUUGGGUUUAAAGGGUGCGUAGGCGGCCCGUUAAGUCAGUGGUGAAAGUUUGCGGCUUAACCGUAAAAUUGCCAUUGAAACUGAUGGGCUUGAGUAUGGUUGAGGUGGGCGGAAUGUGUCAUGUAGCGGUGAAAUGCUUAGAUAUGAUACAGAACACCGAUUGCGAAGGCAGCUCACUAAACCAUAACUGACGCUGAGGCACGAAAGCGUGGGAUCAA